CAGCACAAACUCGUGUGUGUUUUGCGUUCUCGUGUUGCCACUGUAUUCGUGCGUUCCAGGCGAGUGCACUGUUCAUCUUCUCCAUCUCCGGCGACGGGCGCUGGCGAUCCGGAGGCUACAGAGGUAUCUGGGGCUACCUACUGCCUUCGGAUGUGCUACCAAGGAGGCUUUUGAAUUCAUGCCAAACCGAAUCAGGAAUGUGGUGGGAACUUGGAGCGGCCGCGAAGCUAGCUGUGCAGGACAGGAGGUGCUGCUCAAGUCAGUUGUUCAAGCAGUGUCAACCUACCCCAUGAGCUGUUUUUUGAUCCCGAAGGAUUCUUACCACAAACUGAAAUUGGUGAUCGCAAAUUACUUGUUUGUGCUCACUUGGUAUCCCAUGAUAAUCAGGUGGUGGAGUGGCAUAAUACCCCACCUGGUAUUAUGGAUAUCAUAAACAAUGAUUUUAUUUUUGGACAUGAUUAAUGAAAGCUCCAAUUUUGCCUCAAAAAAAUAGCUGUGGCUAUCACAAAAAUCGUACCUUUUUUUUGGAUGAUCGUUGUGCUGACCAUCAUCUUCCAUUGUUGGUGGCACUUUACCGCGCCUUCUCUGGAUUCUCUUGGAGAGGAAGAGGAGACAGCCGGACUGGCAAAAAAUGAAGUUGCAAAAAGAAAUUAACUGAGAAAAGAACUUCCAUAUCCUACGCACCCAUUCACAGCAGAGAAUGAAGUACAUGAAGACUGCAGAGAAGGGGUUGGCACACCUAGUGGCAGCACCUAGGAGGACUUGAAGAAGCUGCUGCUAGUCUGCUACUCGACCCUUCUCUCGCCGAGCGGGAUGCGCCUGGCGGGCGUCAAACUUCACCGACGUCGCUGGCAGCGCGUCGUGGCGACCCCACGCGAUGGCUGGGGCGGGCGUCGAGUUUCACCGACGUCGCCGGCGGUGCGUCGUGGCGAUCCCACGCGAUGGCUAGGGCGUCGUGGCAUCGUGGCGGCACAUCGUGGGCAAAAAUACCCCACGACAUCGGUGAAGUUAGGGUUUACUGAUUUAGGGUGUACUCCCU
rnacentral:lncRNA from 1 species